UGUCUUCUUUGUUGAAACUUGUGCAUUCUCCAAUUUGUAGCUUUUUUGCAUCUUCUUCCGCUUUCUUCAAAUAAUUUUCAAACUUUAUCAUUUCUUUUUGGAUUUAUUUGACCUAGGGAAGUGGUAGGUACACUCGAUUAAUAACUGUUCCUAUAGUCAUCCUUUUUUUGCGUUGUUAAUAUUAAACCAUUUCUAUAGACAUGGUAAAAUGUAGCAACCCUAUAAACAUUAUAUGUAGAUGCUGAAUUUCAUUUAAUGCCUAUGAACAUGAUUUCUAGAUGAAAAAUGAAUAUACAAGAUUCAAAAGAACCUAUAGGCAUAUUUUCGAUAUGCAUAUGCAGAAAUAAGAUUUCCAGAUACUUAUGAACAUGAUUUCUAUAUGAGAGGAUGCAUAAUUCAGAAUUGGCCUAUAGGCAUGGCAUCUAUGUGAGGAUGUAGAAUUGAGAAAUGACCUAUAGACAUGGCAUCUAUGUGAGAAUGUAGAAUUCAAAAAUGACCUAUAGACAUUGCAUCUAUGUUAGAAUGCAGCAUCCAGAAAUGACCUAUAGGUACAGAAUUUUGAGUGGGGGGAAAGAAAGGGAAUCAGUUACAAAUAAGUACACAUAGGGGUUUAGGGGAAUUGGGGAAUUGUAAAGAGGCAGCGGUAGACUGUGGGCAUAAUUAGCAAUGGAGAACGCUAGACACCAAAAAGCCUGAUAGAGCACAUUAUUUAACAUGUUCCUUCAUCAAUAGAAACUCAUAAGAAACAUAGUAGAAGAGCUCAAAGAAAACACAGUAGAAGAAACUAAUACGCAACAUAGUAGAUGAAAACUAAUUAGAACAUAGUAGAAGAAACAUAGUAGAAGAAACACAGUAGAAGCAAUAUGCAAAGAACACAGUAAAAGGAACAUAGUAUAUGAAACAUACAAGAUAAAAAGAAAAUCAGAUAGACAUUUAAAAACCCAAGAUCGGAAAAAUAACGAAAUUGAAACCAUAACUUUUGAAAAAUAUCAUAAAAUCAUUUAAAAGCUUAGGGAAAGUAUAGAUCUAGAACAGAUCUAAAGAGAUCAGAAAAAACUCAAAAACUAGGGUUUCUUGGGAACCCAAACGGUGAGAAAUGCCUGGAUAUAAGAACGAGGAGUCGGAGCCAGGCUCGAAAUAGAACAAGACCAGUGAUGGUCGUAAAGCUUGAAUCAAUAGAGGUCUGGACCCAGUUCUUCGUGGUCAAGUCACAGAACUUCUGUAACCAAACUUGAGGAGCCAUAGAAGCUUGGUGGGUGGUAAAACCACCAUGGAUUCAGGUCAGAACGUGGCCAGAGAAGACGAAGGGAGGAAGGUUCUAUAGAGAACCAAAGACAAUGAGAUAGAGAUGAGUGAGGAAAUG
rnacentral:lncRNA from 1 species